AUAUCUCUCUGUACGGGAAGGAUGAGAAGCUUCGACUAAGGUUCGAUUCGAGCGCAGCGAGAAAGCGUUGCCGCAGGCAACGACCCGAAGGGCGAAGCGCGCAGCGCU
rnacentral:sRNA from 4 species